AUGAUCAUAUUAUAGGAUCACGUAUAUAGUGCGGUUGCGGGGUUUCUGACGAGAAAUUCUCGGACUAUGUUCAACCACGAUGAGGACUGUUAGUGUAAUCCUUGAGCGGGAAGCAGCUCUCAAGCGUUUGCUGAGAGAUUUGAAAUGACCGUUUCUGACCGGUGACGAUGUUUAGAGGAUGGAUUCACACAGGCCGGGAUGU